ensembl:lincRNA Gm13028 predicted gene 13028
AUUUUAAAUGCUAUCCGAUUGGACUCUUAUUGGUCCACAGAGGAGCAGACUCCUGGAAGUCAGGGCCCCUGUUUUCUGUUUAAAAAGUCAUGAACAAAGUUACGACUUUACCCAACGGUUCUCUGCAUCUGCUGGGACAAGCCCAUGAUUUCUGAAGCAGUUCUCAUGACAGACGACCUGAUGGGUCUUCCAACCCAGGAGUUUUGACAGCUGAGUCUCUGCCAGCGUGUACCUUCCUGCUCCUCAUAGGCCUGUCAGAGCGUGUGGGAGUGUUCCC